rnacentral:lncRNA from 1 species
GAGAACUUAUUUUUUUAUAUUGUAUCGCUGCUCUUAUUUGGAUUGUAAUAACUCUAUAACUUCUGCUGAACUACUGCUUUACAACUUAACCUUGUGUUAAAAUGAUUUCGAAUUAUCGUGUUUAUGUUGCAUAUAGCACUUUACUUUUGUUUUAAAUGGAUCUUGAUCAUGAUUGGUAUAUGUGAUUAUGUUGAAUGAUUAUGCCUAUUGCUAACUGCUCAUACAUAUCCAAUUCUUAAUCAUUCCAUGUUUAACUUGAUAUAUCAUAACCUUUCAUGCCAUCAAAACUGUUCUGUUGCUGUUUGUUGUCCAUUUAAUCGAUUAAGAGCUUUAGUUAAUCGAUUAAAUGAUGAAAAACUGUGAAUUUGUUCAAGCUUCUCACAACUGGUUAAUUAGUUACUUACCCAAAAGUUAAUUGAUUAAUUACAGUAUGUUAUAAUCAUGAUAACUCUCCUAACUUUUGACUAGAAUUGAAUAUUUUCAUCUUUUUGAUAAUGUCAAAAUGGGGAGAAAGGUUGCUUGUUGUGUUACGUACAUUUUGCAGGUUGUAUAAUAAGUUUUGCAGGUUUUUUUACCAAGCUUCCAUAUAUGAUGUUUGCUUACCUACAAGGAAACAAAUGCGCUUCAAAUUUGAAAAACAACCAUUAACAACCAUUCUGCAAAUUCAUCAUCAAGCUAAUCCAUCAACAAUUGAGGAAUUUUGAUGAAGUGUUUGUCAUCAUCAAAAAGGGGGAGAUUGAGAGUGCAAAGUGUCAAGGAUAGCACUAGCAUUUCUCUGCCUAUGUUUUGAUGAAGACAAGGUUCUAUUAAAGCUUGAAGAUGGCUCAACAAUCAACAUGCCUUAUGCUCAUUUGGUCAUAUCGAGACUAUGACAUAAUUUGAGUCUAUAUUCUAAGUAGUCUGGGAUGUGUGCCGUAGUAAGUGAGUAUAGGUUAAGUGAACCUAGGUGCUAGUCUCUUAAGCCAUCUUAAUUGUCAUAUCAUAUCCAUGAGACAUAUCAUCUAGUGCAUUUAUCAUACAUGUUAUAUGUGCAUAUUAGGCAUAAUAUAAUUGCUAGAACAUGUAUAUAUAUAUAUUGUGCAUAACAUAUGAGAAGUUUACCUUGUGAAACAUUGCAUUAAUGUUCCAGUUAAUCGAUUAACGUGAUGACUUAAUCGAUUAACUCAACUGCUUUUCUGUUAAAUCAGUGUUUUCUGUGUCAUUCUAUUGCAUGGUUAAUCGAUUAACGGAUAGUCUUAAUCGAUUAACUAGUCUGUUAUUUGUUAUAACUGAAUUCUGGUUCAACCGUUUAACUGUUUGCAACGAAUGUAACCGCCUAAACACCAUGCUAUAAAUGAGAGGCAACGUUCAUAAAACCAUAGCAUUGCAUUAUAUUGUAUAGGGCUGUUUAGAGAGCAUUUUGCAUAUUUGUGUUACUAAUUUUGCAAGAGAGAUUGAAUGCGUGAGAAGAGAGAUAUUAUGUUGUUUUGAUUUCUAUCAUUUGCUUACUGUUUUGCAUAAUUCUAUGUUCAUUCUUAUCUUGCUCACAUGCUCAUGCAUUAGAUAGAUUGUUAGAGAGAUUAUCUGUAUACUGCUUUUGAUUAACUCACAUAAAUCUUGAUGGCUUAAUUGAUUAGUAAGUGGGUUAGUCUUUGACUCUUUUUCUUGUAAUAUUCCAAGCAUUAUUGUGCUAACUAUACCUUGCUCUUUAACGUGUUUUUUGUGUAUUUCUGGAUUAGUCUCUUGGUGUGAAAUCACCACAGAGAUUGAGAUUCUUCACCAAAGCUAGGAGGUCUUGAUUUGAGGACAAGAAUCUUGGUUGUGGCUAUUUCGCGAGAAAGGUUUUCUUAGGUGAAGGGUGGAGUCAAACCAAGGAUUUAGGGGUCCUAGAUUUUAAGAAAGAAGCGUCAUAUGUGCUUGUAAUUGAAUUUGUGUGUGUAUUCAUACUGUAUCUCAAUAUUGUGAAGAAGAAAAUCUCCCUAGAUCAGAAGGGGAGGCCUGGAUAUAGUUUGCAGUGGACUGCAAACGAACCAGGAUAAAAAUCCUUUGUGCACUGUUCUUUCUUUCUUAAUCUUCUUUAAGUUUCUUGCCGUUAUAAAUUGAAUCUGCAAUUGAUAUCCUGGAUAUUUGUUUACUGCCAUAUGCUUAAUAUUUGUG